rnacentral:rRNA from 1 species
CCUACGGGUGGCAACAGUGGGGAAUAUUGGACAAUGGGGGGAACCCUGAUCCAGCCAUGCCGCGUGUGUGAAGAAGGCCCUCGGGUUGUAAAGCACUUUCAGUGAGGAAGAACGCCUGGUGGUUAAUACCCAUCAGGAAAGACAUCACUCACAGAAGAAGCACCGGCUAACUCCGUGCCAGCAGCCGCGGUAAUACGGAGGGUGCGAGCGUUAAUCGGAAUUACUGGGCGUAAAGCGCGCGUAGGUGGCUUGAUAAGCCGGUUGUGAAAGCCCCGGGCUCAACCUGGGAACGGCAUCCGGAACUGUCAAGCUAGAGUGCAGGAGAGGAAGGUAGAAUUCCCGGUGUAGCGGUGAAAUGCGUAGAGAUCGGGAGGAAUACCAGUGGCGAAGGCGGCCUUCUGGACUGACACUGACACUGAGGUGCGAAAGCGUGGGUAGCAAACAGGAUUAGAUACCCUAGUAGUC